UACAGAGGUCCCAAGCGUUGUUCGGAUUUACUGGGCGUAAAGGGUGCGUAGGUGGCGGGGUAAGUCUGGUGUGAAAGCUCCGAGCUCAACUCGGAAAAGCAUUGGAAACUAUCCCGCUGGAGGGUCGGAGGGGAGACUGGAAUUCUCGGUGUAGCAGUGAAAUGCGUAGAUAUCGAGAGGAACACCAGUGGCGAAGGCGGGUCUCUGGACAGUUCCUGACACUGAGGCACGAAGGCCAGGGGAGCAAACGGG
rnacentral:rRNA from 1 species